GAAACUAAUUUGCAUAUUUUAGUCCUGCUAAGUCUUAAAAUCUGUGGUUCAAAUCCAUAGUAGCUUCG
rnacentral:tRNA from 1 species